rnacentral:rRNA from 1 species
AGUGAACGCUGGCGGUAGGCCUAACACAUGCAAGUCGAACGGCAGCACAGUAAGAGCUUGCUCUUACGGGUGGCGAGUGGCGGACGGGUGAGGAAUACAUCGGAAUCUACUUUUUCGUGGGGGAUAACGUAGGGAAACUUACGCUAAUACCGCAUACGACCUACGGGUGAAAGCAGGGGAUCUUCGGACCUUGCGCGAUUGAAUGCGCCGAUGUCGGAUUAGCUAGUUGGCGGGGUAAAGGCCCACCAAGGCGACGAUCCGUAGCUGGUCUGAGAGGAUGAUCAGCCACACUGGAGCUGAGACACGGUCCAGACUCCUACGGGAGGCAGCAGUGGGGAAUAUUGGACAAUGGGCGCAAGCCUGAUCCAGCCAUACCGCGUGGGUGAAGAAGGCCUUCGGGUUGUAAAGCCCUUUUGUUGGGAAAGAAAAGCAGCAGGUUAAUACCCCGCUGUUCUGACGGUACCCAAAGAAUAAGCACCGGCUAACUUCGUG